GACGAACGCUGGCGGCGUGCUUAACACAUGCAAGUCGAACGAUGAACCACUUCGGUGGGGAUUAGUGGCGAACGGGUGAGUAACACGUGGGCAAUCUGCCCUUCACUCUGGGACAAGCCCUGGAAACGGGGUCUAAUACCGGAUACGACACUCUCGGGCAUCCGAUGAAGUGUGGAAAGCUCCGGCGGUGAAGGAUGAGC
rnacentral:rRNA from 1 species